UGGGCAACCUGCCUCUAGCUCUGGGAUAACUCCGGGAAACCGGGGCUAAUACCGGAUACGACCUCGAGCGGCAUCUAUCGAGGUGGAAAGUUUUUCGGCUAGAGAUGGGCCCGCGGCCUAUCAGCUUGUUGGUGAGGUAACGGCCCACCAAGGCGACGACGGGUAGCUGGUCUGAGAGGAUGGCCAGCCACAUUGGGACUGAGACACGGCCCAGACUCCUACGGGAGGCA
rnacentral:rRNA from 1 species